GUGGAUUAGUGGCGAACGGGUGAGUAACACGUGGGCAAUCUGCCCUUCACUCUGGGACAAGCCCUGGAAACGGGGUCUAAUACCGGAUAACACUCUGUCCUGCAUGGGACGGGGUUAAAAGCUCCGGCGGUGAAGGAUGAGCCCGCGGCCUAUCAGCUUGUUGGUGGGGUAAUGGCCUACCAAGGCGACGACGGGUAGCCGGCCUGAGAGGGCGACCGGCCACACUGGGACUGAGACACGGCCCANANUNAUACGGGAGGCAGCAGUGGGGAAUAUUGCACAAUGGGCGAAAGCCUGAUGCAGCGACGCCGCGUGAGGGAUGACGGCCUUCGGGUUGUAAACCUCUUUCAGCAGGGAAGAAGCGAAAGUGACGGUACCUGCAGAAGAAGCGCCGGCUAACUACGUGCCAGCAGCCGCGGUAAUACGUAGGGCGCAAGCGUUGUCCGGAAUUAUUGGGCGUAAAGAGCUCGUAGGCGGCUUGUCACGUCGGAUGUGAAAGCCCGGGGCUUAACCCCGGGUCUGCAUUCGAUACGGGCUAGCUAGAGUGUGGUAGGGGAGAUCGGAAUUCCUGGUGUAGCGGUGAAAUGCGCANAUAUCAGGAGGAACACCNGGUGGCGAAGGCGGAUCUCUGGGNCNAUUACUGACGCUGAGGAGCGAAA
rnacentral:rRNA from 2 species